AUUUCAAUGUGCUCAAAAAAAGUAUGUGGCAGGCACAUUUUCUCAUUGUUUGAAAAUACUUAUGGGAAAUAUCUGUUCCUGCAGAUGUUACCUAAAUCUGGAUUUCAUCAUAUAAUCUGUUCAGCACAUCCCAGCAGCACCUCAGAAUGCGUAGUGCUCUCAGAAUAUUGCAGGAUGAAGACCAUAGGCUGAAUUUGAAGUCUGGUUAAGUGGCAAGGUCAGAGACAGAAAAGCCAGAGCAGUCAGAAGUCAAGCUCAGUCAUCAUUUUCAUUGCUGUGCUCUCCACUGAUGUUUCCUUUGAUUCUGUAUAAAUAAACUUUGUUGUAAUGUC